rnacentral:lncRNA from 1 species
UCCUGCAUUUGCAAAACGUGGUCUCAGAAGAUCUUAAUGAUUAAAAGUUGACAACAGAGAUAGCAUGUCAUGUUGCGACCGUGUUUUCUUAUUGGCGGUCAUGCUGCGACCGUGUUUUCUUAUUGGCAUUUUGUCAAGAAGUUGUAAGUUAACUUUGCCAACCAUUUGUUUAUCAGCAAAAAAGUACACAAUUGAAAUCUUUCCUUUUGCAUCAUUGCGUGUAUUCAAGAAGAGGGCAAAGAUUUCUAUCCAAUAAUUUAUUAUGAUUAGCCAUCUAGAACUAAGCGAAGAUGAUUUUACCCUCAUAUAAGUUACAGAUUCGAUCGACAAAGAGUAGAUAAGAAUACUGUCAAACUUGAGGGGUAUCCAUACCGGUGAGAUAAAAGCGGUGUGUGAAACAUCAGGAUAUCCUUCGACAGAGGGCAAUUCUGAGUUCCGAUAACAGUUAAAUUCUCCUUCUGUUGUCGAUGUGAGCUUUCUUCGCUGCAGGUCCUGAGCGCGAAUGCUCACCACUUGAUUCAAUCUAAAACACGCAUUGGGAGGAAUAAUCAGAAUCAAAUGUUGUUUUAAACCAAGCCUGCAAGACCUAGUUUUUCACCUUA